GGAGGAAGAAAGAAGGGUGUCGCACAGAGCUGCGACCUGGGUGGGGGCCUGCUGGUCAUAGGAAGCAAGAGGGGAAGGAAAACGAAGGAGCGCUGUGCCUUCCUGCAUUAUUUUGAGCAGACGGCGAGAAGCUGCUCUUCAGCAUUUCUAUUAUUUGUGUUUCUUCCUCCCGCUGUGGGGCGGGGAGCCGCGCUGGCUCUCCCACGCGACUCCGCUCCGCUGGUGUCGUAGAUUAUUAUUGUAGUCUUUGCAGAACCCUUUCCUUCCUCCCAGCCAGUCCUUGCGUAGCCUCUCAGGACUACAGUAAGCGCGUAAAGCCACACGAGUGGGAAGACUAGAGCUAGGACCCCCCGCUUUAGCCAGAGUGGCUGGACCCCGCCGUUCAAUUGUUUGAAACUUCCCCGCCCCCUGGCCCCGCCUCUCUUCCGCCCCCCGCCCCCCCCUCCCCAGGGUCCAGGCCGGCUCCCUCCCUUCUUUCCCCGCCCUCUACUCCGCCCCCCUCUCUAGUCCACCCCCCACGCCUGGGCGGUCCUAGCCGCUCACCGCAAGAAGAAAAGCCACCCAUUCGUCCCCCUCCCCUACCUCCCAUCCUUUGCCCAGGAGCUGCCUUCAUCGCAGUCACGCCCCUUCCUUCCGAGGAGCUUUCUGGCUGCUCAAGCUGGUAGACCCCCUGAUUUAUUCUUCCAUCUCCGCUCUCUUUCGCCUCAUCUUCUCUUAGUUCUCACCGCUCCCUCCACCCCCCACCUCCAGUCUGUCUUGCCUCCGACCAUCCGCUGCUCCACCCUCCGGCCCGGUAUCCUGCCUGUCCACUGCCACCAAGGAGAGCCCGGACGGAGCAGCGAGGAGGGGAGCAGCCGGGAGUUGGGGCUUCCCCCUGCCCAUCCUGGCCUCCGGCCCGGGACCGAAGCCACUUGAGCGAGCAGAGAGUCGUCACCUUGUCUUCGGUGCCUUCAGGGGUAGGAGACGCAUGGUUACUUUUCGCGGGGAACUGGGGCAGGAAUCCAUGGUGGCAUGAACUUGAUCGUGCCCUCGGCGUGAAGCUGCUGAGGAGGACAACUAGCAGAAGGGAAAGAGACUUUGUCUCCUUGGAAGAAAGGCUAAG
rnacentral:lncRNA from 1 species